UGCUUACACAUGCAAGUCGAACGAAAGUUUUUAACUUUAGUGGCGAACGGGUGGGUAAUACGUGAGAAUCUGCCCUUAGGAGAAGAAUAACUGCUGGAAACGGUUGCUAAAUCUUCAUAUGUCGAGAGAUGAAAUAGCUUAGGCUGCCUAAGGAUGAGCUCACGCCUGAUUAGCUUGUUGGUGAGGUAAUGGCUCACCAAGGCCACGAUCAGUAGCUGGUUUGAGAGAACGAUCAGCCACACUGGGACUGAGACACGGCCCAGACUCCUCCGGGAGGCAGCAGUGAGGAAUUUUCCGCAAUGGGCGAAAGCCUGACGGAGCAAUACCGCGUGAGGGAUGAAGGAUUUUGGUCUGUAAACCUCUUUUCUCAAGAAAGAAGUUCUGACGGUACUUGAGGAAUAAGCAUCGGCUAACUCCGUGCCAGCAGCCGCGGUAAUACGGGGGAUGCAAGCGUUAUCCGGAAUGAUUGGGCGUAAAGCGCCUGUAGGUUGUUUAUUAAGUCCGUUGUUAAAGCCUAGGGCUUAACCCUAGAAAAGCAAUGGAAACUAGUAGACUAGAGUAUGGCAGGGGUAGAGGGAAUUUCUAGUGUAGCGGUGAAAUGCGUAGAUAUUAGAAAGAACACCGGUGGCGAAAGCGCUCUACUGGACCAUUACUGACACUCAGAGGCGAAAGCUAGGGUAGCAAAGGGAUAGAUACCCCUGUAGUCCUAGCCGUAAACGAUGGAUACUAGAUGUGUGCAUUAUGUACAGUAUCGUAGCUAACGCGUUAAGUAUCCCGCCUGGGGAGUACGCUCGCA
rnacentral:rRNA from 1 species